GACGAACGCUGGCGGCGUGCUUAACACAUGCAAGUCGAACGGAAAGGCCCUGCUUUUGCGGGGUGCUCGAGUGGCGAACGGGUGAGUAACACGCGAGUAACCUGCCCUUGACUUUGGGAUAACUUCAGGAAACUGGGGCUAAUACCGGAUAGGAGCUCCUGCUGCAUGGUGGGGGUUGGAAAGUUUCGGCGGUUGGGGAUGGAUUCGCUGCUUAUCAGCUUGUUGGUGGGGUAGUGGCUUACCAAGGCUUUGACGGGUAGCCGGCCUGAGAGCGUGACCGGCCACAAUAGGACUGAGAUACGGCGCAGACUCCUACGGGACGCAGCAGGGGAGAAUAUUGCGCAGCGGGCGGGAGCGUGAUGCAGCGGCGCCGCGUUCGGGAUGACGUGCUUCGGGGGAUAAACCACUUUGGCCUGUGACGAAGCGUGAGUGACGGUAAUUGGUAAGAAAGCACCAGCUAACUACGUG
rnacentral:rRNA from 1 species